rnacentral:rRNA from 1 species
GAGUUUGAUCCUGGCUCAGAACGAACGUUGGCGGCGUGGAUUAGGCAUGCAAGUCGAACGCGAAAGUUUCCUUCGGGGAACGAGUAGAGUGGCGAACGGGUGAGUAAUGCGUAGAUGACCUACCCAAAUGAUCGGGACAACCACUCGAAAGGGUGGCUAAUACCGGAUGUGGUCGGAUUCCUGCGGGUUUUUGACGAAAGAUGGCCUCUGAUUAAAGCUGUCGCAUUUGGAGGGGUUUACGUGCUAUUAGCUUGUUGGUGGGGUAACGGCCUACCAAGGCAAUGAUGGCUAGCCGGCCUGAGAGGGUGUCCGGCCACACUGGGACUGAGACACUGCCCAGACUCCUACGGGAGGCUGCAGUCGAGAAUCUUCCACCAAUGCGCGAAAGCGUGAUGGAGCAACGCCGCGUGUGCGAUGAAGGCUUUCGGGUUGUAAAGCACUGUUGGAAGGGCGUAAUCGCCAUCGGUUAAUACCCGUGUGGUUUGAACUCCCUUCGGAGGAAGCACCGGCUAAAUUCGUGCCAGCAGCCGCGGUAAUACGAAUGGUGCAAACGUUGUUCGGAAUCACUGGGCAUAAAGAGCACGUAGGCGGCUCAGUCAGUCAGCUGUGAAAUCCCUCGGCUCAACCGAGGAACUGCAGCUGAUACUGCUGAGCUAGAGUACGGGAGGGGAGAGCGGAAUUCCUGGUGGAGCGGUGAUAUGUGUAGAUAUCAGGAGGAACGCCGGAGGCGAAAGCGGCUCUCUGGUCGUAACUGACGCUGAGGUGCGAAAGCUAGGGGAGCAAACAGGAUUAGAUACCCUGGUAGUCCUAGCUGUAAACGAUGGGCACUAAGUAGGGGGACUCCCAAGGUUUCCCUGCCGGAGCUAAUGUGUUAAGUGCCCCGCCUGGGAAGUACGGUCGCAAGGCUGAAACUCAAAGGAAUUGACGGGGGCUCACACAAGCGGUGGAGCAUGUUGUUUAAUUCGACGCAACGCGAAGAACCUUACCUGGGCUUGACAUUCAUGUGGUACCAAACCGAAAGGGGCGGGACCGUCUUUUGGCGGAGCAUGAACAGGUAUUGCAUGGCUGUCGUCAGCUCGUGUCGUGAGAUGUUGGGUUAAGUCCCGUAACGAGCGCAACCCUUGUCCUUAGUUGCCAGCGGAUCAUGCCGGGGACUCUAGGGAGACUGCCGGUGUUAAACCGGAGGAAGGCGGGGAUGACGUCAAGUCAUCAUGGUCCUUACGCCCAGGGCUACAAACGUGCUACAAUGGUCGGUACAAAGAGACGCUAGGCCGCGAGGUCAUGCAAAUCUCAAAAAGCCGGCCCCAGUUCGGAUUGGAGGCUGCAAUUCGCCUCCAUGAAGUCGGAAUCGCUAGUAAUCGCAGAUCAGCCAUGCUGCGGUGAAUAUGUUCCUGAGCCUUGCACACAC